rnacentral:tRNA from 2 species
CCGACGUAAACCAAAUGGUAGCGGACUUCUAAGCCGUGGGUCGCAGGUUCGAAUCCUGCAGGGCGCGCCA